AUAUAUAAUAUGCCUUAUGAAUAUGCUUUAUUUUUGAUUCACAUUACCCCAGGGCAAGGGUUAAUAAGGUAUGGCAUUGAAUGGUGCGAUACAGUGAAUGCCACUCAAGAGACCAGGAUGAAUGCUAAAGAAAAAUAGAAUUCAUUGCUUGUGAGUCCCACAAAAGAAAUUGCGUCACACCUUGCAGAGGCAUUGAAGGAACAGAUUUUGAUCAGAAACAGGAAUGAAAUAAGAAUAUAGACCACUGAUUUCACUGGAGUUUUCAUGGGCAAAGCAAAGAAAGAUAAAUAAUUUCAGAUUGGCUAGUAUGAAUGUUUUUUUUUUGUUUGUUUUAUUUUAUCUUAUAUCUGAUAGGACAGAGAAAUUGAGAGGGAAGGAGAGGUAGAGACAGAAAGAGAAGGAGAGAAAGAGAGAGAAAGAGACCUGCAAUACUGCUUCAUCACUCAUGAAGCUUUCCCCUUGCAAGUAGGGACUAGAGGCUUGAACCCCAGCCCUUGUGUACAGUAACACUUGUGCUCAGCCAAGUGUGCCACCCACAUGUCCCCUUAAUGUGAAUAAUUUAGGUGGACCUUGGUGAUAGGUAUGUCCUGGUCCCUGGCUCUAGGACAUUUAAGAUGCAGAGAUACGGGGCCAGGUGGUGGCACACCUGGCUAAGCACUCACAUAACAGUGUGCAAGGUCCUGGUUUCAAGCACCUGGUCCCCACCUGCAGGGGGAAGGCUUCACAAGUGGUGAAGCAGUGCUGCAGAUGUCUCUCUGUCUCCCACACCCCUCUCAAUUUCUUUCUGUCUCUAUUUAAUAAUAAAAAUAAAUAAAAAUAUAAUAUGUUAUUUAAAAAUAUGAAAGGAUAAUAUUCUUAUGAUUCAUGGGCCAGAUAAGGAAAGUAAAGCUCUGGACUGGUUCAUUUGCAUUUCAGAUAUCUGAUUCAGACUGAGCCUUUCAUUGUUUUCAGAACUGGUUAACCCAAGAAGGGGCAGUCUCUCCUCAGUUAGGUUUCUUAAUAUAUCAAAACAUAACAUGCAGAAAAUAAAAUUAGGGAGCAGUGGUGCAUUGGGUUAAAUGUAUAUAGUACAAAGUGCUAGGACCAGCACAAGGAUCCUUCUUCAAGUUCCUGUCUCCCCUCCUGCAGGCAGUUACCUCACAAGCAGUGAAGCAGGUCUGCAGGUAUCUGUCUCUGUAUAUAUCCCCCUCCCCUCUCAAUUUCUCUCUGUUCUAUUCUAUUAAAGAAAUAGCUGCCAGGAACAGUGGAUUCAUAGUGCCAGCACUGAGUCUCAGCAGUAUCCAUGGAGGCAAGAAAAAAAAGGAAAAAUGAGAUUAAUAUAGUUUCAAAACUUCAUACAUGAAGACCCAAAUUCAGAAAAUAAAUAUGUAUAUGUGAUUUAAUUUUCAGCUUAUUCUUACACUGUAUUUCAGAAUCACAAGAUAAUGGGAAAUAAAACAAAACUGCCAUCUUUCUUCUUGAGAACUCUUUUUUAGCAGAGAAUCUCAUGAUUAUCCAGUAUAUACUAACUACCAGGCUAUACAGAUAUUUUAAAAGAAUAAAAUUCAUCCUAUACUGUAGGGCUGCUCAUAUCUAAUGAGAAGAAAGACAUGCAAAUAAGUGGUAUAUUGUAAGGUGUUAAGUGUGAUGACAGAGAAUGUAAAUUGGUGGGGCCAGGCGAUGGCACACCUGGAUAAGUGCUCACAAGGACCCAGGUUCAAGUCCCCGGUCCCAACCUGCAGGGGGAUAGUUUCAUGAAUGGUGAAGCAGGCCUGCAGGUAUCUGUCUGUCUCCUUCUCUAUGUACCCCUCCCCUCUCAGUUUCUCUCUGUCUCUA